UGGUUCUGCGUGGAAGGGCCAUCGCUCAACGGAUAAAAGCUACCCUGGGGAUAACAGGCUUAUCUCCCCCAAGAGUCCACAUCGACGGGGAGGUUUGGCACCUCGAUGUCGGCUCAUCACAUCCUGGGGCUGUAGUAGGUCCCAAGGGUUGGGCUGUUCGCCCAUUAAAGUGGUACGCGAGCUGGGUUCAGAACGUCGUGAGACAGUUCGGUCCCUAUCCGUCGCAGGCGUAGGAAAUUUGAGAAGACCUGUCCUUAGUACGAGAGGACCGGGAUGGACGUACCUCUGGUGUACCAGUUGUCCUGCCAAGGGCAUGGCUGGGUAGCUAUGUACGGAAUGGAUAAGCGCUGAAAGCAUCUAAGCGCGAAGCCAACUUCAAGAUAAGAUUUCCCACCGCAAGGGUAAGACCCCAGAAAGACUAUCUGGUUGAUAGGUCGAAGGUGUAAGUGCAGCAAUGUAUUUAGCUUAUCGAUACUAAUAGGUCGAGGACUUGACCAA
rnacentral:rRNA from 1 species